UAGCAUAUCAAUAAGCGGAGGAAAAGAAACCAACAGGGAUUGCCCCAGUAACGGCGAGUGAAGCGGCAACAGCUCAAAUUUGAAAUCUGGCCCCUAGGGUCCGAGUUGUAAUUUGUAGAGGAUGCUUUUGGCGCGGCGCCUUCCGAGUUCCCUGGAACGGGACGCCAUAGAGGGUGAGAGCCCCGUCUGGUUGGAUGCCUAGCCUCUGUAAAGCUCCUUCGACGAGUCGAGUAGUUUGGGAAUGCUGCUCUAAAUGGGAGGUAUAUGUCUUCUAAAGCUAAAUACCGGCCAGAGACCGAUAGCGCACAAGUAGAGUGAUCGAAAGAUGAAAAGCACUUUGAAAAGAGGGUUAAAUAGUACGUGAAAUUGUUGAAAGGGAAGCGUUUGUGACCAGACUUGGGCCCGGUUGAUCAUCCAGCGUUUUCGCUGGUGCACUCUGCCGGCCCAGGCCAGCAUCAGUUCGCGCCGGGGGAUAAAGGCUUCGGGAAUGUGGCUCUUCGGAGUGUUAUAGCCCGUUGUGUAAUACCCUGGUGCGGACUGAGGUUCGCGCUCCGCAAGGAUGCUGGCGUAAUGGUCAUCAGCGACCCGUCUUGAAACACGGACCAAGGAGUCGUCUUCGUAUGCGAGUGUUCGGGUGUCAAACCCCUACGCGUAAUGAAAGUGAACGCAGGUGAGAGCUUCGGCGCAUCAUCGACCGAUCCUGAUGUUCUCGGAUGGAUUUGAGUAAGAGCAUACGGGGCCGGACCCGAAAGAAGGUGAACUAUGCCUGUAUAGGGUGAAGCCAGAGGAAACUCUGGUGGAGGCUCGCAGCGGUUCUGACGUGCAAAUCGAUCGUCAAAUAUGGGCAUGGGGGCGAAAGACUAAUCG
rnacentral:rRNA from 1 species